rnacentral:rRNA from 1 species
UAGGGAAUCUUCCACAAUGGACGCAAGUCUGAUGGAGCAACGCCGCGUGAGUGAAGAAGGUUUUCGGAUCGUAAAGCUCUGUUGUUGGUGAAGAAGGAUAGAGGCAGUAACUGGCCUUUAUUUGACGGUAAUCAACCAGAAAGUCACGGCUAACUACGUGCCAGCAGCCGCGGUAAUACGUAGGUGGCAAGCGUUGUCCGGAUUUAUUGGGCGUAAAGCGAGCGCAGGCGGAAGAAUAAGUCUGAUGUGAAAGCCCUCGGCUUAACCGAGGAACUGCAUCGGAAACUGUUUUCUUGAGUGCAGAAGAGGAGAGUGGAACUCCAUGUGUAGCGGUGGAAUGCGUAGAUAUAUGGAAGAACACCAGUGGCGAAGGCGGCUCUCUGGUCUGCAACUGACGCUGAGGCUCGAAAGCAUGGGUAGCGAACAGGAUUAGAUACCCUGGUAGUCCAUGCCGUAAACGAUGAGUGCUAAGUGUUGGGAGGUUUCCGCCUCUCAGUGCUGCAGCUAACGCAUUAAGCACUCCGCCUGGGGAGUACGACCGCAAGGUUGAAAC